CUUUUCUCGCCCCCCCUGCGGCUGAGGCUGUUCUGUUGAAUGCGCCAGGCCAGGGCGGGAGUCUGGAAGAUGGCGGGCGAAGGGAAAGAAACCCCGGCCCUCCUGCCGAAAACACAGCAGCGAAGGAGGCGCGGAGGCCUUGCCCGUGAAGCGUAUGAUCACCGCGCAGGGCACAGACCCAAGGAAUAACUUGUCUGCUUACACAAAUGGCCUGCAAUGAAACUGUUGGUGUUUUGCAGAAGUUAUUCUGCUGAAUGAGAUGAAUGUAAUGGCUGAAGCAAUAGCCGUUCCUUCUGUUAGAAAAUAAUGAAAGGAAAGACAAUAUCGGUAAAGUGAUUGGUGGCUGACUUCACUGAAGAUUUGUCUUGUGAUGUCUGAUUUAGCCUGGAGAGAUCUGGCUUCAAAUUGAUAUUUUACCAUGAAUUUUCCUGAGUAUUGGCCUUGUGCCCUGGAGCUGUGAGGAAAAAAUACUGGAUUUUCUUCAUAGAUAAAAUUGACUUGGAUCCAUUGUUGGGGCAGAUCAUACGGGCAAAUUGGCAAUUUGCUUGUCCUGUUUUGUUUUUUCAUCUUGUAGAUUUCAGAAAUGUAGAUGUUAAAAUAGAAGUUCACCAUCUGUUUCCUUCAUCCUUUUUCCUUUUGUUUGAUAAAAUUGGUCUUGGAGGAAUUGCACCUGUGAAAACGGUUUCUCUUUCUCUUCUUCGUUUAAUAAGAAGUUGAUUAAGACUCUUGUUGAAAAUAUCCUGUUAACUUAAGAUUUAAAUUAACUUUGGAACAUCUUUCCCUUGGAAAUCUGGCUCUUUCCUGAGAUGAUAGGGUUAGAACCUCAGUGGAGCACCAUAGAUUUGUUACAUGGAGCCUUCUGAGGAACCUUUAAUUACAAUAUGAUUUUAAUUGUAUUCUACAUGACAAAUGGGUACCCACAAGCAUUUAUUACAAGAUUCCUGUGCAACAAAACAGGGGAGAGAAAAGAAGAAAGAAGGCACAAGACCAACUAUAUGGUAGAAAGCAGCUUCUGAGAUCUGCAAGUAGGCCUUGCACACUGCCCAGAGGCUACUCAUAUGAGGAUAGAUCAUGCAUUGCAAAGAUCAUUUGGAGGUGGGUGAUACUUCCUAUGUAACCUACCAGAUCCCCCGCAUGUGUUGUCCCUCUGUAGGACAGAUGGGAAGUUAACCAUUACAUUGCAAUUACACAAGCAAGCGGUCAGAUGAGAUCCAAACUCAUUGGCAGCCUCACAUUGCAAUGAACAAGGACAUACAUUGAAUUUUGUAGACGUUGGCUGAGCAGGUAUAAAAAUAGCCAAGGAAAUGAUUGAAGCCUGGGAAAUGGAUCCCUUGUCAGACAACAGGAGUGCUGAUUUACCACCAGCUUAUAAAGUACUUGGGAGAUGAGGACUUGGUAGCACAAGGAAACAAAAUCAAGUUUACCAGCCAUCAACACUCCAACCAACAGCUAAAAAGUCAAAUACAACCAGGCACCACACAAAUGCUAUGCAUGGAAUAGCCCAAAGCACAUAUUCUGGCGAGGGGGAAGUUCCCUGAGGAUGGGCUUGGAAGACUAAUUUAUGGUGACCAACCCAGCUUGGAUCAUGUAUUCUGUAUAGCUUUACACCACUUUUUAUUAAAUAUUGCUUUUACCUAUUUCUCCGCUGCCCAGAGUUAUGUUUAAAAUGGGCAGCUGUGUAAUUUCUAAAAUGAAUAAUAAACCUCUUUAAUUAUUCUA